CCCGCACAAGCGGUGGAGCAUGUGGUUUAAUUCGAUGCGACGCGAAGAACCUUACCAGGGUUUGACAUGCUGGUGGUAGAAGCCCGAAAGGGUGACGACCUUCGGUUUUCCGAGGGAGCCAGCACAGGUGCUGCAUGGUUGUCGUCAGCUCGUGUCGUGAGAUGUUGGGUUAAGUCCCGCAACGAGCGCAACCCUUACCCUUAGUUGCGACCAGGUUAUGCUUGGGCACUCUAGCGAGACUGCCGGUAAUAAACCGGAGGAAGUGGGGAUGACGUCAAAUCAUCAUGCCCCUUAUGACCUGGGCUACACACGUGCUACAAUGGUUGGUACAACGAGUUGCGAGUCGGUGACGGCGAGCUAAUCUCUUAAAGCCAAUCUCAGUUCGGAUUGUAGGCUGCAACUCGCCUACAUGAAGUCGGAAUCGCUAGUAAUCGCGGAUCAGCACGCCGCGGUGAAUACGUUCCCGGGCCUU
rnacentral:rRNA from 1 species